rnacentral:rRNA from 1 species
UACGUAGGUGGCAAGCGUUAUCCGGAUUUAUUGGGCGUAAAGGGAGCGCAGGCGGUCUUUUAAGUCUGAUGUGAAAGCCUUCGGCUUAACCGGAGUAGCGCAUUGGAAACUGGGAGACUUGAGUGCAGAAGAGGAGAAUGGAACUCCAUGUGUAGCGGUGAAAUGCGUAGAUAUAUGGAGGAACACCGGUGGCGAAAGCGGCUCUCUAGCCUGUAACUGACACUGAGGCUCGAAAGCGUGGGGAGCAAACAGG